rnacentral:rRNA from 1 species
AUUGAACGCUGGCGGCAGGCCUAACGCAUGCAAGUCGAACGGUAACAGGAAACAGCUUGCUGUUUCGCUGACGAGUGGCGGACGGGUGAGUAAUGUCUGGGAAACUGCCUGAUGGAGGGGGAUAACUACUGGAAACGGUAGCUAAUACCGCAUAACGUCGCAAGACCAAAGAGGGGGACCUUCGGGCCUCUUGCCAUCGGAUGUGCCCAGAUGGGAUUAGCUAGUAGGUGGGGUAACGGCUCACCUAGGCGACGAUCCCUAGCUGGUCUGAGAGGAUGACCAGCCACACUGGAACUGAGACACGGUCCAGACUCCUACGGGAGGCAGCAGUGGGGAAUAUUGCACAAUGGGCGCAAGCCUGAUGCAGCCAUGCCGCGUGUAUGAAGAAGGCCUUCGGGUUGUAAAGUACUUUCAGCGGGGAGGAAGGGAGUAAAGUUAAUACCUUUGCUCAUUGACGUUACCCGCAGAAGAAGCACCGGCUAACUCCGUG